GACGAACGCUGGCGGCGUGCCUAAUACAUGCAAGUCGAACGCAGUGGGGACUGGUGAGUAACCCGUGGGUAACCUCCCAUCAGAGGGGAUAACACUUGGAAUCAGGUGCUAAACCGAUACUGAUGGAUGAACCCGCGGUGCAUUAGCUAGUUGUUGAGGUAACGGCUCACCAAGGCCACGAUGCAUACCCGACCUGAGAGGGUGAUCGGCCACACUGGGACUGAGACACGGCCCAGACUCCUACGGGAGGCAGCAGUAGGGAAUCUUCGGCAAUGGACGAAAGUCUGACCGAGCAACGCCGCGUGAGUGAAGAAGGUUUUCGGAUCGUAAAACUCUGUUGUUAGAGAAGCGGUAUCUAACCAGAAAGCCACGGCUAACUACGUGCCAGCAGCCGCGGUAAUUC
rnacentral:rRNA from 1 species